rnacentral:rRNA from 1 species
AGAGUUUGAUCAUGGCUCAGAAUCAACGCUGGCGGCGUGCCUAACACAUGCAAGUCGAACGAGAAAGUGGAGCAAUCCAUGAGUAAAGUGGCGCACGGGUGAGUAACACGUGACUAACCUACCCUUGAGUGGGGGAUAACCUGGGGAAACCUUGGCUAAUACCGCAUAACACCUACGGGUCAAAGGAGCAAUUCGCUUAAGGAGGGGGUCGCGGCAGAUUAGUUAGUUGGCGGGGUAAUGGCCCACCAAGACAGUGAUCUGUAUCCGGCCUGAGAGGGCGCACGGACACACUGGAACUGAAACACGGUCCAGACUCCUACGGGAGGCAGCAGUGGGGAAUUUUGCGCAAUGGGGGAAACCCUGACGCAGCAACGCCGCGUGGAGGAUGAAGUCCCUUGGGACGUAAACUCCUUUCGACCGGGACGAUUAUGACGGUACCGGAAGAAGAAGCCCCGGCUAACUUCGUGCCAGCAGCCGCGGUAAUACGAGGGGGGCGAGCGUUGUUCGGAAUUAUUGGGCGUAAAGGGUGCGUAGGCGGUUCGGUAAGUUUCGUGUGAAAUCUUCGGGCUCAACUCGAAGCCUGCACGAAAUACUGCCGGGCUUGAGUGUGGGAGAGGUGAGUGGAAUUUCCGGUGUAGCGGUGAAAUGCGUAGAUAUCGGAAGGAACACCUGUGGCGAAAGCGGCUCACUGGACCACAACUGACGCUGAUGCACGAAAGCUAGGGGAGCAAACAGGAUUAGAUACCCUUGUAGUCC